rnacentral:rRNA from 1 species
CGGCAGGGCGCUAUCCAGGGAUAAUCGGGCAAACAGGCGCAUGGAGGCGAUUUCGUACAGGGCAUCUUCCAUGGCACCGUCGCUCAGGUUGUACCAAUGCUGCAUGCAGUGAAUACGCAGCAUGGUCUCCAGCGGAUAGGGCCGUCGGCCAUUGCCCGCCUUGGGAUAAAACGGCUCGAUGACAGCGGUCAUAUUCUGCCAUGGCAGAAUCUGCUCCAUGCGGGAGAGGAAAAUCUCUUUUCGGGUCUGACGGCGCUUAGUGCUGAAUUCACUAUCGGCGAAGGUGAGUUGAUGGCUCAUGAUGUCCCUCUGGGAUGCGCUCCGGAUGAAUAUGA